CCACUGAAAUGUCUCGCCUUCUUUACUAAUCAUUGAUAUUAUGUUGAUACUCCUAAAUAUAAAGCUUUAUUACGACUGUCACAUAAACUUAACAUGAACCAUGAAAAUGAGGUCAAGGUCAGUUGAACCAUAUGCCAGGCAGACAUUUACAGCUAACAAUGCUUCCAUACAACAAAUAUAGUUGACCUAUUGCUUAUAGUUAAAAAAUAGACCAAAACACAAAAACUUAACACAGAGCAAUGAACCGUGAAAACCAGGUCAAGGUCAAAUAAAAACCGCACGACUGACAUAUAGAUCAUAAAAUUUUCCAUAC
rnacentral:lncRNA from 1 species